UGGCUCGGUGAGGCCUUCGGACUGGCCCAGGGAGGUCGGCAACGACCACCCAGGGCCGGAAAGUUGGUCAAACCCGGUCAUUUAGAGGAAGUAAAAGUCGUAACAAGGUCUCCGUAGGUGAACCUGCGGAGGGAUCAUUA
rnacentral:rRNA from 3 species